UGGAAAGGAAGUAUUUAGAUGGAUACGGGCCAAUUGCAGGCAAAUGGGUCCAGCCUAAUAUGCCAAAGAUAAAUUCAAAAUGCUGUAGUAACUCAGUGGGUUAGGCAGCAUCUCUGGAGAAAAGGAACAGGUGAUGUUUCGGGUCGAGACCCUUCUUCUGCCUCAUGUGCCAACUUGGUCAGCAUGGACAAGGUGGGCCGAUAGGGUUAUUUUUGUGCUGAACAAGUCUUUGACUAUUUAUUGAUUAUCUCUAAUUACUUUCCGAGAAGGUGGUGGUGAGCCACCUUCUUCAAGCCUUGUAAUCAUUAUGGUGAAGGUGCCCCAUAUAGUGCUUUAGUUCCAAGAUUUAGGCCCCAUGAAGAUGAUGAUAUUUCCAAGACAGAUAUUUCCAGAUGUUGCCUGACCUGUUGAUUUUCCCCAGCACUUUGUGUUUUGCUCAGGAUUUCUACAUCUGCAGCUUCUUGUGUCUCUAAGCAGAACUCCACAAAUACUGUAAAAUAGGGUUAAAGCAUCGCUAGCGAACACAAAUCUUUUGUCCGCCAACAAAAUAUCUGAUAUUCCAAAAUAUCAAUAUUUUAAGCUAGAGACAAGGAACUGCAGAAGUAGCAAUCUUGAGCAAAUCAGUGGGUCAUGCAGCAUCUCCAGAUGGAAUUGGACCCUCCUUCAAUUAAUGUGUCUUUUCAUGAAAGAAUUAAAUAAAAUCAUAAUCAAUCCUUUAUGAACAUAAAGAAUGUUCUUGUGUCACAAAGAAUGACAUCACAAACUGUAUAUGAAAUUCUGUUUUGGCAACACUAUCAAAUGAUUUUCUCUGAGGUUUGAUGGUUAGCCCAAUGGCUAGGGAUUUUUACUUAAAUGCACUUGCACUUUACUACUUUUUUUCAUGCUUCAUUUAGUGGAAUAAUGAGUUUAAUUGGGAAAAAGCACAACCGUUUGAGGAGACUUUAUGUCAACAGUCUAUUAUUUUUGAUGGUAUUUUUCGAUUUGGGUUCAAUGCUUACUCUUGAACGAGUGAAGAGAGAAAGCAAUGGGCGUGAGGCCAGCAUCAACUUCGCAAGAAAUCACUUUGGAUAUCUGGAUGACUAUGGAAUCAAACCAAUAAUUCCACGGCUCAGCAAGCAAAUAAAGAAAGUCCCAUCUCCGUUCCUAAUGAAAGCGGGUCGAAGCAAGAGAGAUGAUCCGGAGUUUGAUGACUUCUAUAAUUACCUUGGAUAACUAUCAGCAUCAAAUCGUUUUUUUAGAAUUAAUUUUCCAGCUGUGACUUGAAACAUGAAAUUUGGAAACUGCGCUGACACGAAUAGCAAUGAAACCAAAGUGCACAUUUUGUUUGGGACAUGUUAUAUAGUGUGUUUUAUUCCUUCAACUAGAAAGAAUGACUAUUUUGAAUCCUUUUUAUUAACUCUUUCUGAGCGUAUUGAUUUCCAGUGAGAGUUCAGUUCCAAUGUGGACAGUAUCUUCUAAUAUCUCACCCAACAAGUCAUGCUACCUGUGUGAGAGUGUUAUUGAAGAGACUACUGGCAGGAUGUGUGACUGACGCCAAGGCAUUUUUGGCCCAUUUCUGAUAUUAGCCAAGGUCAAAAAACACCAGCUGAUUAUCCCAACCAGCAUCUGGAGUCCUUGUUUCUACAUUUCUCUAUCCCUUAUCUCACUGUUCACUGCUCCUCAACAGGCCAGGAACUUGGAACCAACUCUUUUUACUUAUCCACAGGUCCCAUGUGGGGGCAAAGUCUAGCUUUGACCAUAACACAUUGUACAGAUUCCGGGAAAGAGAUGGUUAGGACAACUCCCAUUUCCUCAAGAUUUUAUACGAGUAAGAAACUGAGUACAAAAAGUCUUUCCUUAAAAGGACUUAUCAUUGCAUCUCUUUGCUCAUACAUCUGCUACAGUUUCAAUAGUUUUAUUUUGGGUAGUCUAGUUAGGGACUGAAUGGUGGGAGACCCCAUCCAGCCCCCUUGUUAACUGGGCUGAGGGACCAAGUGGGGAGAAGAUCUUGGAGGCCAAUAGCUUGAAUGCUUGUGAUGAACUGCAGCAAGCCAACAUGAGUAUCAUUCAUAACAGAUUACUGGAUUCUCUUGACCAUUCAUUGAUGAUGUCACAUCUAGCUGCCAAUUUACCAUUUUCAAUAUGUGUCCCUGUGUUCCAAGAGUAAAUGCACAAUCCCAGCCUGGUGAUUCCUUGUACAUUGAAAGGACCAGCUCUACUGUCAACGAUUUAAGCUGAAUCCAAGUAGACACCGCUGUAACUUUGGACUAAGAUAGAUUGAGUUGUUUAAAUCCAGAAAGCAAAUUAUUGUCUGCUAGGAUUAACACGAGGACAGGUUUAUCCUUGAUUUUAUCCGAACACUACAAUAAAAUUGUUAUUAGUUAUACUUCUAGCCGUGUGUUUUAUGCAUUCCUUAACACCUUUGGAAGCUCAACACUCUCCAGGACAAAUCAGCCCCCCGAGAUAGCACCAUUGUAUCCAACAGAUUCAGUUUGUAUUCCUGUCCACUAGCAUACAGUGGCUGCCAUCUGCAGAACGCACUACAGAACUCACCUCGGCUAUACUGGGUGAAUGCACACACUUUCUUACCCCAGUGUUGGGGAAUCAAGAGGUAGGGGACAUCAGUUUAAGGGGACAAGGGAAAGAUUUAAUAUGUAGUUUAGAUACGAUUUAGACAUUGGGCUUGGUUAUCUUGGUAGAGCGCUUACCCUGGUGAUGAAGCACAAGCACUUCAUAGGAACCUGAGGGGCUACUUUUACCACUCAGCAAGAGUGGUGGGUGUAGUGAACAUGCUGCCAGAGGAGGUAGUUGGGGCAGGAACAGUAACAAUAUUUAAAGGACAUUUGGGCAGGCACAUGGAUAGAAAGGAUUUAGAGGGACAUGUGACAAACAGUGCCAAGCGGGCAGCGUAGAUGGGCAUUUGGGUCAACAUAAAUGUUUUGGAUGAAGGGGCUGUUUCCAUGCUCUUAUGACCCUGUGUCUAAUCCCAAACCUCGACCACUUGGUUCCUCUUCAAAUCAGUCACCAUACUGACUCGGAAUUAUAAUGGUUUCAUUGUCAUGGGAUCCAAGUCCCUACUGAUAGACUUAUGAAUGAAUGUUCCCUCACCAAGUGGAUGGCAGAAGUUUACCACCAGCUCAAGUCCAUCUUCUCAAGAAGUAACAGCCGAUAGGUUUAGUUUAGUUUAGUUUAGAGAUACAGCGCCGAAACUGGUCCAUCGUCCCACCAAAUCUGCGCUGACUAGUGAUCACCCCACACACUAACAUGCACGAGGAACAGUUUACAAUUUUACCAAGCCAAUUAGCCUACAAACCUGUACGUCUUCAGAGUGUGGGAGGAAACCGGAGCUCCCGGAGAAAACCCAUGCCGGUCACGGGAAAACUUACAAACUCCGCCCAGAGAGCACCCAUAGUCAAGAUUGAACCCGGGUCUCUGGUACUGUUAGGCAGCAACUCUACCGCUGCGCUGCCUGCUACCGAUGUUAACCUUGAGCAUGUCUACAUCCUGCACGUGAUGACAAGCAUCAUAGAUUCCUGUGCGGUAGAUAUCUGAGCUACAAGCCAAUCACUCUCAUUGUAAAGAGAACUGAUCCGGAAAUGGGAAUCCCGAAGAACAAAAUGUUUUGCAAGUUUGGCCAAUAAACUGACACUUAAUUAGUGGAGUUAUCACAUAACCAGUCACGGCACAUUGGUGAUGCUAAUGCAAUACUCCCAACAGAAUGGCAGU